GUAGGCCUCUGUGAAGCCUGAACUCGAGUAGGGCCCAAGCCAGCCAGGAAGGAGGAGGCAGCCAGAGUGUUCUCUGCAGCAGAAGACCCCUUGCUGCACUGCUUAACCCAGACCAGCAUUUGCCAGGUUGAAGGAGCCUUCCAUGUAGCUGCUCUGAAGAUUUCCUGUACUGGAGCAUUUGCGAAGAAUGUGGCAGAUGUGGCCACCGCCCUCAUGGAAUGAGCGAAUCUACAGUAUUCCUGCCCAUCGCCCUUGCUUCUUUAGCUAAACUACCCUCAGCCAUCUGAAGGUCUUCUUCUCCCUUACAGAACUUGGCCUGUUCUCCCUUGCUGUCCCUUAUGUCUGGAAGAACUCCUGGGUGAUGCUGCCUCUCUCUUCCUUCAACCCAUCUGCAACAAAUGUCCCCAUGUACAUUCUCUUUGCUGAACCAUAAUAUUUGUCUUUUGGCUGUUGUACUGUUUUAAUGUUGUAAAAUAAUUCCAAUCUAACAUGAGUCUAUUCCUUUUCUGACUAGCAGUUAACUAAGCCCAAUAUUCUUGAUAUCUAGCUAGAAUUAUGUUGUGGUAGUUGCAUUAUUUUACAAUAAACAAACACUGAACAUGAAUUAUUUCCUAAUUUCC